CCAGACUCCUACGGGAGGCAGCAGUGGGGAAUAUUGCACAAUGGGGGAAACCCUGAUGCAGCGACGCCGCGUGAGCGAUGAAGUAUUUCGGUAUGUAAAGCUCUAUCAGCAGGGAAGAAGAUGACGGUACCUGAGUAAGAAGCUCCGGCUAAAUACGUGCCAGCAGCCGCGGUAAUACGUAUGGAGCAAGCGUUAUCCGGAUUUACUGGGCGUAAAGGGUGCGUAGGCGGACAGUCAAGUCAGCGGUAAAAAUGCGGUGCUCAACGCCAUACAGCCGUUGAAACUGGCAGUCUUGAGUGGGCGAGAAGUAUGCGGAAUGCGUGGUGUAGCGGUGAAAUGCAUAGAUAUCACGCAGAACUCCGAUUGCGAAGGCAGCAUACCGGCGCCCGACUGACGCUGAGGCACGAAAGCGUGGGUAUCGAACAGGAUUAGAUACCCCCGUACC
rnacentral:rRNA from 1 species